UCGUUUAGUUUAACGGCGGGGUUUUGAACUCCAUAUACCCUGGUUUAGCCUCCGGCGUCGAAAGACAAGCAAUAUUAGGGUGAAAGAUCAAAAUCAACAUGGCCACGGCAUGGUUGCAGUUACAGAGAGUCCUCAGAAACGGAGGUGUUAAUUCAAUCUCCACACUCCCGCCUUCUUCGAAUUACUUCUCUUCUAGAUCCUUUUCCAAAUCAACACCCUACGUUGUCAAGGUUGGAAUACCGGAGUUUUUAACCGGAAUUGGAAAUGGAGUUGAAUCUCAUGUUGCUAAGCUUGAUUCCGAAAUUGGUGACUUCCAGAAGCUUCUUGAAACUCGAACACUUAAACUCAAGAAGCUCGGUAUUCCUUGCAAACAUGUAUAUAAUUAUAUCACCAGCAACUUAGACGUCUAUAGCCAUAUGAUUUCCAUCAAUUGCAGCAGGGAUAGACUAUGAGCUUAAUUUACCAUUUUUAAAUAGCAAGCACAAGAGAAUCUUAGAAUUAGAUGCCAGAUUAUUUUGUAUCUUACAAUUGUACAUCCAGGAUGCAUGUGCAUCAGAUAAGUCUGAGGUCUGUCGUCGACUCUAAUGUUGGAAAUAAAAUGAAUCCAUGCCAUAGCAGUCACUUCUUGUGAUACAGUUUUCUUUUUCAAUCCCACGACUUGUAGACCGGGACUCCGGGAGUUCAAUGAACUUUCCACUUUUGAGGAAGCUAAUAUUGAAAUAUGCACACAAGUUUAGGCUGGGAUUAUGGAGGCCGCGUGAGCCCAUCAAAGCAUGAUUAGUUUCUAUGUAGUAAGUAGCCUUUUGUUGUGAAAAACCAUAUUGGAAAUGUUUAGCCAGUGCAGAUAACAGUUCUUGACUUUACAUGAAAAGAGGAAGUCAUUGGCUCUGGAUACCUCCGAUCCUUUUUCAUCACAUUGACGUUUGUCAUUUGCACCAGUCAAGUACAAUGGACUUAUUUUAGUUUGACUCUUUUUUAUUGUCAUUUCAUAUCUCCAGCGAUAUCAUUUCAUUUUCUUUUUUAAAGCCAAUAAAUUCACGGCCUUUUUUGUUUUUGCAAAAAGAGAAUUAACUGAGGGCUAGAAGUUCACUUGUGUUGUAUCCCAUCCUUCCCUGUAUGCAGCAAUGGUUUUUGUGAGUUGCUUGGCAGAGUUAAAUACAAUGAAUUAUCUGAACUUGAAUAUGUUUAAGUAGAAGCCCAUUUGCUAAUAAGAUUUGAGAUGUUUCUUUCA